rnacentral:misc_RNA from 1 species
GUGAGUCAUCGAAUCUUUGAACGCACAUUGCGCCCCUUGGUAUUCCGGGGGGCAUGCCCGUUCGAGCGUCAUUUCACCACUCAAGCCUCGCUUGGUGUUGGGCCACGGGGGUGACCCGGGCCUCAAAGUUGUCGGCCGGACGGUCCGAAUCUCAGCGUCGUGGCAACUAUUCGCUGGCGAGACGGGCGAUCCGCGCCGUGAAACCUCUAUCACAGGUUGACCUCGGAUCGGGUAGGGAUACCCGCUGAACUUAAGCAUAUCAAUAAGCGGAGGA